UACGUAGGGUGCGAGCGUUAUCCGGAAUCAUUGGGCGUAAAGAGCUCGUAGGCGGUUCAGCAAGUCGGCUGUGAAAGUCUGAGGCUCAACCUCAGAAUUGCAGUCGAUACUGCUGUGACUCGAGUCCGGUAGAGGAGAAUGGAAUUCCCGGUGUAGCGGUGAAAUGCGCAGAUAUCGGGAGGAACACCAGUAGCGAAGGCGGUUCUCUGGGCCGGCACUGACGCUGAGGAGCGAAAGCGUGGGGAGCAAACAGG
rnacentral:rRNA from 1 species